ACUUGGGGAGAAAGCAGACGCCGUAUAAAUUUGUAUCCCAAGACUGACAAAGUCUAAGUUCCUCUGUCACACUCUUUCCAAAUACCCAAAAAAAAAACACAGUCUCUCUCUCUCACUUGGGCUGCGUUAUUUUAACUUGAAAUGCUCGGAAAACCCAUUAUCUUUCAUAAUUCAAUUGAAACAAAUUGUUGAUUCAGAAAAAAACAAUGGCAUUGGGUUUUCAAGAAAAGGACGACGACGCAGAGACGGAAAAGGACGCUUUCUUGACCAUAGAAAACCAUAAACGAAUCAUUUUUCAUGUUAAUGAUAGAGUUGAGGUAUUUAGUGAGGAAGAAGGGUUUCAAGGUUCAUGGCACCCAGGAACUGUUGUUUUGGUCGACAGGAAUGGCUGGAAACUCAGUUAUCAUGUCAAAUACGAUCAUUUACUAGAUGAUGAUAGCUCUGAAAAGAUGGUUGGUUGUCUGCAUGUUUCAGAGCUUGUGGAUGACGAUGGUUGUGCCCCUGAUAACCUGCCUAAUAAUCGUGGCCGUAUUAGACCUUUAGAAGAUCGUCUUCAGUCGAGUGUAUGGGACCUUUGUUAUGGAAGGUGUGUUGAUGUCCAUUACAAUGAAGGUUGGUGGGAAGGUGUAGUUUUUGAUCAUGAAGAUGGUUCAAAGCAGAGGAAUAUCUUUUUUCCGGAAUUAGGUGAUGAGAUGAUGUUUCACGUUGAUAGAAUAAGUAUUUCUCGGGACUGGAAUGAUAUUACUGGUGUUUGGCAGAUCCGCGAGACAUGGUUGUUUCUUGAGUUGAUCGAGGAGCAUGAGAAAGAACAUUAUGUUCCCGUUUCCAUUAAGCAACUUUGGUAUGAUUUGCGGGAGAAGGAAAGAUUUAAGAAGAUUGGCGAAUGGACCUCUAAGGAGAAAGAUCUAUGGAAAAGCUUGGUGUUAGAGGCAAUUGAUGAUAACUGGAAAAUUCUUAUUCAUCAUGUUUUGCAAGAAAUAGGCCUUCCAGAGUCUACAAAGGCGCCAUUGGGGUCUGCUGCAUCUUGUCAUGAUGCUAAUAAUUAUACUGAAUCAGAUAUGGCUCAAAAGGAUAUUAUUCUACAAGAGGGAAAUAUACCAAGUAGUUAUAAUUUUUAUUCCAGCCCUCCUACUAAUUGUCGCAUUCACGAAAGGUCUAUUGUGCAGCAAUUAGAACCUCCCGCACAGAAUGGUAUGUCAAAAAUGAACCUUCUGGCUCGAUCAGAUUUAUCCUGUCCUGGAAAACCAGCGUGUGAGAUGCCUCUGGUUUUAUUGCCUUCAACUUUUGGCAAGGAUGGAACUUCUGUUGCCACUUCUUCAAUCAAUGCAGGCCUGACAUUUGAUUUUGAUGCAUAUAAUAAAAACUACUCGACUUCUGUUUGCAAAGAGUCCACUUAUUUACCUGUUGGCGCAGACGUAGUUCCUGGACCUGAAUUUUUCCCAGAUGCUAUUAGGAAAUAUGCACAAAUGGGUAAGAAAAGGCCUCAUGAAUCCAUCAUUGUUAAUUGCAGGAAGCAUCUUUUGUUUUUGAAUUGGAAAGUUGAAUGCGCAAGAGGCCCUCGUAAUAGAUUUCGUUACACUUCACCCGACGGAAAGCAAUAUUAUUCUCUUAUUGGGGUCUGUGCAGUUUUAAGUGAAACCCAUAAGGAUAUUAUUUCUUCAGGUAACCAGGAUGAGAAUGCAAAUCUGUCUAACUGUCCUAGUAAUUCACCAAAGAAUCCAGAUUCUAUGGUUUCUUUUCAAUCUGAUAUUCACGUUGUUGAACCUGAAUAUUGUCUUGAAGCAGUUCUGGACUGGUAUAAAUGCGGGUCUGAGGGGAAACGAAAGAGAAAGAAUAAGAAAGAUGCUAAUCAAAUGAUAAUGAAAGCAAAGAAACAUCUCGCACUUAUGGGAUGGAUUUUUCGAUAUGUAUAUCUAAAUGGCAAGCGCGAGUUGCGUUAUAUCUCACCAUCAGGAAGACGCUAUAAUUCACUUCGAGCAGCCUGCGGAGACCCUAGAAGUAGAAUUGCUUCUGUUAGCGGUGCUUGUGCAAGUGUACAUCCAGAAAGGAAAGCUGACAGCAAGACAGUUGAGGGACAGUCAAACUCGUUUGAGUAUUGUUCUAAUAAUCGGUAUGCCCGUAUGUCAAAGUUUAGAAACCUUGGUAUGCUUCAAAAAAUUAAAGUUGGAAGAACUAGGAAAAGUGAAAAGAAAAGAAAGAAAAUACUAGAAUCUUCCUUUCUUCAACAAAAAUCCAAUUCAGUUUCUCCGAACUUCCCUGCAAAAAGUAGAAGCAAAAGCAAAGAUCUGAUCAGAGGACCAAAUAAGACAAAAGGUGCCUACCCAAAUAUUGUGCUUAGAUCAAGCAAAAGAGUGAAGCAUUUGGUUGAGCCCAAUCCUUCACAUCGGAAGCCUCGAACAGUCCUUUCAUGGUUAGUAGACAAUACUGAUGUCUUGCCAAGGGCAAAAUUAACUUACUGUGCCAGUAAUGGCGGAAGUCCAGUUGCAGAAGGGCGUAUAAGUGGCGGUGGGAGUGGGAUCAAGUGCAAUUGCUGUGGGAAGCUGUAUUCUGUUAGUGGCUUUGAGUUUCAUGCUACUGGCCAGUAUGGUAGACUAGCUGGCAGCAUCUUGUCCAACCUCCUUCUGGAAGAUGGAAGGUCCCUGUUAGACUGCCAGAUGCAAGUAAUACACACAAACAAAAAGAAUUUUCGGAGAAAGCCACUUAAAAAGUUGCCUGGUAGUAGGCAUCAAGGUGAAAAUGAUCACAUAUGCUCUGUUUGUCACUACGGCGGUGAGUUAAUAUUAUGUGAUCAAUGCCCAUCUUCUUUCCACCAUAGUUGCCUUGGUAUGACGGAUGUUCCAGAUGGAGAUUGGUUCUGCUCAUCGUGCUGUUGUGAUAUUUGCGGCCAAAAUAAGCUGAAAAGAGACUCUAAACAUUCUGUGGACGAUUACGGCGUUCUUAAUUGCACUCAAUGCGAGCGUAAAUAUCACAUUGGAUGCAUAAGGACUAAAGGAGAAGAGAACCUGGACUACAUUUCUGAAGGAAAUUGGUUUUGCAGCAAAACGUGUGAAGAGAUUUGUGUGGGCCUGCAUGAGCUUUCAGGAAAACCAGUUGCAGUGCAUUUAAACAAUCUUACUUGGACUAUGUUAAAGUGCACUGAGUUUGAAAAUCGUAAUCAUAAUGCUUCUGAUACUGAGGCCAUGUCUGGGAACUACUGCCAUCUUUGUAUUGCACUGGACGUGAUGCAUGAGUGUUUUGAGCCUAUUGAAGAACCUUACACUAGGAAAGAUCUUCUUAAAGAUGUUAUUUUUAGCAAAAGGUCAGAACUCAAACGUCUAAAUUUUCGAGGAUUUUAUACAGUACUUUUGCAGAAAGGCGAUGAAGUAAUUACAGUUGCUACAGUAAGGAUUUAUGGAGAGAAGGUGGCAGAAAUACCUCUGAUUGGAACUAGAUUUCAGUACCGCAGGCGUGGAAUGUGUCGCAUACUGUUGAAUGUGCUGGAAAAGAAGCUCGGAGAACUAGGAAUCCAGAGACUCAUUUUACCUGCUGUUCCUAGCCUUUUAAACACGUGGACUGAUUCAUUUGGGUUUUCAAAGCUGUCAGACUCUGGGAGAUUACAAUUGCUAGAUUAUACUUUCUUGGUUUUCCAGGAUACUAUAAUGUGUGAAAAGCUAUUAAUGAAGAUCCCUUCUGCAGAAUCAAGUCCGUCAAAAGAAAUUCAAUUUAGGCAAGAAAAUGAUGCUAUUGGAUAUGGUGAUAACAUCGACCGACUCAGUACUGUAUCUGAAGUAUUUCAAGCAUGUCAAAUUGGGAGUGAUAUUGUGGAAUACGGGAAGUUCGACAGGGAUUUUGCAAUUAACAACACCAGAGGUGGUGAAGGGCCUCCUUGCAAUCAGGUUGACAGAGGAACUGAUAUGGACUGUGUGCCUCAUGCUGGGGAAAUUAGUUUGGAGUCCCUGGUCGAGGAUCCUUCUUCCAAGAAGGAGAAAAAGGAGAACAGUAGUGAUGGUUCAAACAUCGUAAACAUGGAAAACAGAUAUGGCUCUUACCGGGAAUUGAAGUUCUACAAAAGAAGAAGGGUAUUAGUAGACUUUGGGAGCUGAGUACUUUUUUGCUUGCAUCAAUUCAAGGACUAAAUGGCAAAAUUUUGCUUGUCUUGGACUUGUAGGUAAAUACGUAGCAUGGAAAGAGUCCUUUUUGCAAAAUGCAAGGUGAAGGCUGUGUACAAAAUGUGUUCUCAUCCCCUACCCCUGCAAUAACUCCGGGAGCACUUCAUAUGUCGGGUGCUCUUUUACACUCUUCGCCCUGGUUUGGUCAUGGAAGAUACUUUUUUUACUUUCUCAAAUACUUUGUGCGUCAGGAUUGGAGUUUCGAUUCAGAACAUCUUUAAAAAAGGAUCUUUGGAGCCACAUUAGUGACCCAACGAGAGGCCGAGGAUGCUACAAUCAUCUUUUGGAUUAUAGCAUCCAUUGACGCAAAUAUGGCGUUCGCUCUUUUGGUACAUCAAAGGAGAUGUGGAACCAUCUUAAGCGUGUACACAAUCUAUGAAAUACUACAAGACGCUUUCAACUUGAUUUUGAGAUAAGUAAUCUUAGUCGAGGGAAUCUUUCUAUUCAUUAGUAUUAUUCUUAAUUUAUUAACUUGUUGAGGGAAUAUUUAGAUAUAACAACUCUGAGGCCAUGUUUGGUUCAUAGAAUAGGUGUAAAAUAGAAUAGCUAUUCCGUAUAAAUGAUUAUUUUUUACUUUGGUUGAUAGAAUUAUCAUUCCAUAAAAUUGCUAUUAUAUGAUUUUGUGGAAUAACACUUAUCAAAAAGCAAAGAAUAGAAUAGCUAUUCCAAUUCAUGCUAUUUCAUUCGAUGAACUAAACAUGGCUUUAAGGUGUUUAAAGAAGCCUCAAUUUGAGGCUAUCUAGGCUAAUUUAUUGAAGGGUUAAUGUCAUAAAAAUUCAUCAACUUUAUACAUUUUUUCAUUCUAAUCACGCAGUUUCAAUUUUCUCAUUUUCAUGUACGAACUACCACUUUUUCUCAAAUUCAUGCACGGUGCUGAGUUGUCACGGCUCUAUUGGUGUAAUUUGCUGAGGUGGAGGUUUUUACACCAAUGAAUGAGUGGCACCUCAGCACCGUGCAUGAAUUUGAGAAAAAGUGGUAGUUCGUGCAUGAAAAUGAGAAUUUAAAUUGUAUGAUUAAUAUGAGAAAAUGUGUAAAGUUCGUAAUGUUUUUUGACAUUAACCCUUUAUUAAAUAACAAUCCAACUCCUUUUAUGGAUAUGUGUCUUAACAUGAAAUCUUGAUAGGGCAACCUUAGGAGUGAAUAGGCUAAUUUAUCGAGAGAUUUAAUGGCUAUAGGAAGUAAUUUGGCUCCUGUUAUACCUCAGUUUUCUAGGGAAAACUAUCAGAUAUGGGUUGUCAAAAUGAGAUAUUAUUUAAGGUCUGAAGGAUUACAGGAGAUUGUCGAUGAAGAUAAGCAAAUUCCGCAAUCGAGAGCAAAUCACACGCUGGCUCAAAUCAAGUAACGUGAGGAGGAAAAGAUGAAAAGAGAUAAAGCUACCACUUUUCUUCAUUCGGCUUUGUCGGGUGCAAUAUUUACAAGUAUAAUGCAUUUUGAAACAGUCAAGCAAAUAUAGGAUGAACUAAAAGCCAGAUUUGAAGGAAAUGAAAGAGUUAAGUCAGUGAAAUUGUUCUCUCUCAAAAGAGAGUUUGAACUCUUUAAAAUGAAAGAGAAUAAAUGAUUUAAAAAUUAUUUUUCAAACCUGCUAGAACUAAUGAAUUAGAUGAGACAUUAUGAUGAGGUUGUUGAAGACUUCAAAGUGGUGGAAAAAAUACUGAUCAACUUAUCGGAGAAAUUUGAAGCAAAGAUUAUUGUCAUUAAAGAAUCAUGUGAUCUAUAAAGGCUCACAAUUUUAGAAAUGAUAAGUAAAUUGCAAGCUCAAGAUCAAAGGAACUCUAUGAGAAAUGUUGAUGUAUCUGAAGGAGCAUUUCAAGCAAGACAAACAAGAGAACAGUCUUCGACGGAAAAUUAAAAAUGGCUGAAAUAUGAAAAAAAAAUAGCGGUGAUGGAAACGAAAAGGUAAAAUGGGUGAGAACUCAAAUGCAUCAUCUGAAAGUAACAAAUUUACUCCUUGUUCUAUAUGCAAAUGAUCAAAUCAUUUGGCUAAAGAUUGCUGGUAUACGGGGAAGCCUCAAAUUCAAUGUCAUUAUUGUAAGAAAUGGGGGCAUAAGGAGUGUUUUGCAAGCUAAACAAAAUCAAGUUCAAAUGCAAGUUGCCCAACAAGUCGACUUUGUUGAUGAGCAACCUCAAGUUGCCCAACAAGUCAACUUUGUUGAUGAGCAACCUCAAGUUGGAGAGCAAUUAUUCUUUGGUGCCCAAAUGUGUUAUUCAACUCCAAAGGAGGUGUGGUGCGUGGAAAGUGGUUGUACAAAUCAUAUGGCAAAAGAUGAAAGGUUCUUCACUUAUCUUGAGGGGCUAGAACCAAAGUAAAACUUGAAAAUGAGGAUAUAGUUCAAGUCAAUUAUUGCAUGUUUGAAAAGCAAUCGGCAUACAUUCUCACCAAAGCUUUUCCUCAUGCAAAGUUGAAGUUCUAGGAAGCAAGUUUGGAGUCUUUAAAAAAAGUGUAAGAGAGGAGUUUUAACUUGUGAGACUUUUUAAGAUACUCUAGAAACUUAAAUAUAUUUUAUAUUGGCUUAAUUACUUAAAAACCACUCACCUUGAACUUUUUUUUCGUUUAUACCCUGACCUAGAAAAAAAAUUCAUUUAUACCCUGAUGUAUGUGUUUAUGUUUCACCUCUACCCCGAGGCACUAAAUUAACCUCUUUUCAUUUAGAAAAAAGUUUAAAAUAGUCCUUCAUUUAGAGAAAAAUUCAUUUCUAAUUAAACACUAAUUAGCUUAGAUUAAAAAUGAAAAACUAUUUUAAACUUUUUUCUAAAUGAAAAGAGGUUAAUUUAGUGUCUCGGGGUAGAGGUAAAACAUAAAUACAUACGUCAGGGUAUAAAUGAAUUUUUUCCUAGAUCAGGGUAUAAACGAAAACAAAGUUCAAGAUGAGUGGUUUUUAAGUAAUUAAACCUUUUAUAUUCAUAUAUUUUGUAUUAGUUUUUGAUAUUAUAAUGUUGAUCAAUGUUCCACA